ensembl:snoRNA LOC120102631 small nucleolar RNA SNORA36 family
CUCCAGAGUAUUCAGUGCAGUUCAGGGCAGCUUCCAUGUUCUGUUAAUUAAACGUUGGAACAUUGAAAUUGGCGGAGGGAAGACUAAAUGGAGAGUUACUCUAUUUAUAUACUUCUAGCUCACAUGC